CACGCAGAUACACAGACACCCACACCCUGCAGCCGCACGGAUGCUCACGCGGUGCCUGCACCAACCCGCCCUAGGCGCACAAAGGCGAGCGCUGGGGCCAGAGCCGGCAGCUCGUUGGAGGAAGGCUCCAGGGCGGGCCCGUGCAGCAGGCAAGCUCCGGCCACGUCUCUGCCGGCAGCCCGCUGUCCUGACCCGCCGGGACGCCCCCAGACGCGGCGCCUACGGCUCAGGGAAAGCGGACGGGGUGCCGGGUCCCUCUGGCUGAUCCCACUCUGGGGGCGCUCGGCAACCUUCACCCUCCUCCACCGUUCCCACCGCUCCCCGCGGCUCGCGGGCACCUCGGGAUCGUCCACGUCCCUAGGGGAAAAUCCUCCCAGCGCCAGGAGUCUUCCGAGCCAGCACGGGUCCCACGUAGACAGGCUGGCGCCUGCACUCAGAGACGCACGCGAACACAGACACGCACAGACAGCGGGACGCACGCAGGGGGCACGGACGGGCCCAGGGAGUGUGGCUCCAUUCCUGGCGCGCCUCUGUCUGGGCGGCAGCGGUCCGGUCCCGUGCGAAGCUCUUUUCUGGAGAUCCCGGGUGUGCGGGAGCUGGAUCCGCCGCCGGCAGAGAGACAGGUUCCGGAACGCGCUCGGCGCGGCUUCCCGGCAGCCUGGGCACUCAGGCGUGCGGGAUGGGUGGAGGCGUCGGUCCCCUGUGCUUGCCUCUGGCUUUCUUUUCUUUCCCUUUCCUUUCCUUCUCUUUUUUCUUCUUCUGUCCCUGCUUCCCCGCCCCCUCCCCCUCCUUCCUUUUCUCUUCCUCCUUCCGCCUCUCCCUUCCUCGCCACUUCCCAUUCCGUUCGCCCUUUCUUCAUACCCGCUUUCAUUUCAGAAAACCUUUUUCCUCCCGGUUUCUUUUCUCUUGCGCUUUUCUCCCGGCGUUGCCUGGUGGGCAAGGCUCCUGAGGGCUCCCGAGGGUCGGAGAGGUAGGGUCUGCAGGCGCCGAGCCGUCGGGCGGCACGGGCGCCGGGGCCAGCCGUCGGCGGCGCUCACCUCGCCUCCCUUCCCGUCCGUGUUUCCGCGGCCACGGAGGAGGCUGUGGAUUGCCAGGGAGCGGUGUCCCGGCGGCGGGAGGGGCUCUCGAGAGGAUCCCGGGGCAGGCUGGCCCUGGGUCCGGCCCAGCCAGGCUUCCCCCGGUCCCCGGGCUCCGGGCAUUUCUGCGGAGAGAAGGACGCCCCUGGCUGGCAGACGGUCCCCAACUCCUGCACACGCUCGCGCGCGCCCAGGGGCCUCCCGGACCGGGCUCCUAGGGGCAGCUGCCAGGAACCACUCCGUGCACCCGGCCGGGCACUCGGCCCGCUCGGUGACCCCGAGUCGCAGCUCCUGCCGCCCCGGGCGAGCCCGCUACUCCCUCACGCGCCAUUCCCGUCCCCCGGGCGCGACCUCGGCGGGGCCCUGGAAGGAGCCGCCGGGGGUUUCUAGCGACUCCUUCGCCGCCUUUCAGAUGCAAAACCUCCUUUCUGGGCUCGAGUGUUUUCCAGAGGGGAAACCCUGA
rnacentral:lncRNA from 1 species